GACGGGGAAGCCGCACAAACGGUGGAGCAUGUGGGUUUAAUUCGAAGCAUCGCGAAGAACCUUGACCAGGUCUUGAGAUCCGGAUGAAGGGCGGAGUAAAGCCGCCGGCUCUUCGGAGCAUCCGAGACAGGUGGUGCAUGGUUGUCGUCAGCUCGUGUCGUGAGAUGUUUGGGUCAAGUCCCGCAACGAGCGCAACCCUUGCGGCCAGUAGCCAGCGAGUAAAGUCGGGCACUCUGGCAGGACUGCCGGGGACAACCCGGAGGAAGGUGAAAAUGACGUCAAAUCAUCAUGCCCCUUAUGACCUGGGCUACACACGUGCUACAAUGGCGCACACAGAGGGAAGCGAACCUGAGAAGGGGAGCAAAUCCCCAAAAAGGCGUCCCAGUUCGGACUGCGGUCUGCAACCCGACCGCACGAAGCUGGAAUCGCUAGUAAUCGCAGAUCAGAAUGCUGCGGUGAAUACGUUCCCGGGUGGUGUACACACCGCCCGUCACACCAUGGGAGUCAGAAAUGCCCGAA
rnacentral:rRNA from 1 species